rnacentral:rRNA from 1 species
GGGUGAGUAACACCGUGAGCAAUCAUGUCCCUUGACACCUGGAAUAACAGGCUGGAAACAGCUGCUAAUACCGGAUACGACCUUCGAUGACAUCAUCUGGAGGUGGAAAUGCUCCGGCGGUCAAGGAUGGGCUCGCUGGCCUAUCAGCUUGUUGGUGCAGGUAACGGCUCACCAAGGCGACGACGGGUAGCCGGCCUGAGAGGGCGACCGGCCACACUGGGACUGAGACACGGCCCAGACUCCAUACGGGAGGCAGCAGUGGGGAAUAUUGCGCAAUGGGCGGAAGCCUGACGCAGCGACUGCCUGCUGUGGGGGAUGACGGCCUUCGGGUUGUAAACCUCUUUCGGCCCCGACGAAGCGUGCAGUGACGGUAGGGGUAGAAUGAAGCACCGGCCAACUACGUGCCAGCCGCCGUGG